rnacentral:rRNA from 1 species
CAUAGCGACUAUCGUGGCAUAUCAAUAAGCGGAGGAAAAGAAACUAACAAGGAUUCCCCUAGUAACGGCGAGUGAAGCGGGAAGAGCUCAAAUUUGAAAUCUUCAAGGUUUGACCUUGACGAAUUGUAGUUUAAAGAAGUGUUUUCGGUUAGAGGAGUAGUAAAAGUUCUUUGGAAUAGGACAUCAUAGAGGGUGAGAAUCCCGCAUUUGACUAUUCUUUCUAGCUUUGUGAUACACUUUCAAAGAGUCGGAUUGUUUGGGAAUGCAGUCCAAAAUGGGUGGUAAAUUUCAUCUAAAGCUAAAUAUUGGCGAGAGACCGAUAGCGAACAAGUACCGUGAGGGAAAGAUGAAAAGAACUUUGAAAAGAGAGUUAAACAGUACGUGAAAUUGUCAAAAGGGAAGCGUUUGACACCAGUGUUGUUUUUCCGAAAAUCAAUUAAAAAUUGAUUCAUGCUAGGUUGUAUUGACCUCAUCAGCUUGCAAUUUAGUUUUGGGUCUCUUUUUGAUAGCACUUUUCGGUUAACAAGUCAACAUCAAUUUCCUUUGCUGUAAAAAGGUAAGAGGAAGGUGGCUUCAAUUUCGGUUGAAGUGUUUAUAGCCUUUUAUCUCUGCAGUCGGGGAGAUUGAGGUCUGCAGCGUAGAUCCUUCGGGGCUAGAUACAUUUAUGCUAAGUUAUAGCUUUUCAUAGACAACUUGUUGACUAUGUUUAGUCAUGUAGCUUACUCGUAAGUGCUAUUUUACCUACGCUUAGGAUGUUGA